rnacentral:rRNA from 1 species
AUGGGACAACAUGAUACUGCUGAACCUGUUAAGUCGAUCUGGAAAUCAUGCUGCCUCCCCAGGCACAAGUUCUUCUGCUGGUUGGUGCUCAAUGAUAGAAUUAACACAUGUGAUCUGCUUACCAGGAAAUUCUUUCAUUUGGAUUCCACAUCCUGUGUUUUAUGCAAUGAUGAAGAGAUGGAGGACAGAACCCAUUUACUAUUUUCAUGCACAUUCAGCCAAAACUUCUGGUGGAAUACUGGUAUUGAAUGGAACACUGAUUUGACCAUUCAUGACAUGAUUACUGAUGGCAAACUGAGAUAUAAUCUACCUUUCUUCAUGGAAAUUGUGACUGUGGGAUGCUAGAGUAUAUGGAAUCAGAGAAAUGGACUGAUAUUUGAGGAUAUACCAUGCUCCAUAACCUCUUGCAAGUUUGACUUCAUCACCACUUUCAAUCUCACCAUGUUGAGAGCCAAGCCCAGCCUCAAGGAUGGCAUGUCAUCCUGGAUAGACAGCAUUUGA